UUGCCUUGGCUGUAUUCUCCCUGCUCCCCCUGUACCACACACACAUUCUUAGUCUCUCUGUGUAUUAGCAUUUCAGGGCUGAAAGCUCUUUCCUGCUCAAAACAGUAUCAACACACAUAAUCUAGCCCAAAUGUGUCAUCUGGUUUUAAGGAAACAUUUCCCAAACAGCUUUUAGUUUCUCAGUGUAAUUAAACUGCUGAGCUGCUCAGGGAGUUGGAAAGGAUUACUCACUGUUAAUCCACAGCUUUUUGCCUGGUUUUUAUUUUGGAUAAGAGAGACCUUUCUCCACUGGACUUCCUUCAGUGCAAUUCCAGUUUAAGACCAUUGCCCUCUUCUGGCAGAAGAUCGUCCUUCACAAAGGAGAUAGCCAGAUACGAUCUUACUGUAACACGAAGCACAGAGAAAAUGUUACUUGUGGACUGUUAGUGGAGCACGUGGGCUUAACGCAAGAGAAAUGAAUUGCAAGGGCAGGCAGAUCCCAAUGAUGGGUGAGAGAAAACUAUUUAUCUAGUAAAGAUGGCUGUUUGGGAAGUGUUGGAGAAUUUUCAGACUUCAUACAAUCAGAAAACCCUUUCCAUAUUUACUUGUCUUCAAGAAAAUUCUACAUGCUUAUCUGCCUGUUAAAGAAAAUUUGUGGGUGGAUGGUGAAUUGUCAAUUCAAGCAGCAGCUCAAUGUUGCUUCUAUGUUAUGAUAAAAUACAUCUUAGAACAUAAAUGACAAUUUCUUGCAACUAUGCAUUGCAGAUUGAUU